UGCAUCAUUGUGUGCCUAAAAAGCCC
rnacentral:piRNA from 1 species